GAUGAACGCUGGCGGCGUGCCUAAUACAUGCAAGUCGAGCGAACGGACGAGAAGCUUGCUUCUCUGAUGUUAGCGGCGGACGGGUGAGUAACACGUGGAUAACCUACCUAUAAGACUGGGAUAACUUCGGGAAACCGGAGCUAAUACCGGAUAAUAUUUUGAACCGCAUGGUUCAAAAGUGAAAGACGGUCUUGCUGUCACUUAUAGAUGGAUCCGCGCUGCAUUAGCUAGUUGGUAAGGUAACGGCUUACCAAGGCAACGAUGCAUAGCCGACCUGAGAGGGUGAUCGGCCACACUGGAACGUAGACACGGUCCAGACUCCUACGGUAGGCAGCAGUAGGGAAUCUUCCGCAAUGGGCGAAAGCCUGACGGAGCAACGCCGCGUGAGUGAUGAAGGUCUUCGGAUCGUAAAACCCUGUUAUUAGUGAAGAACAUAUGUGUAAGUAACUGUGCACAUCUUGACGGUACCUAAUCAGAAAGCCACGGCUAACUACGUG
rnacentral:rRNA from 1 species